UUUGCUUCUCUGACUUGUUAAUAAUUGAGAAUCUACUCGUUGCCAAAUUCAAUUGAUCCUCAGAAUCCGAAAUUGGAAGUUUUCUAGGGUUUUAACAGAACAAAACAGAGAAGAUGUUACACCUUCUAUAUGGAGUGAUAUUGGGAGAGGCAAUUGUGAUACUGAGCUUUCUGUUCAAGUCCCCACUGAGGAAGGUUGUUAUCGUCACCCUUGAUCGUCUCAAGCGCGGUAGGGGUCCCGUUGUUGUGAAGACGGUGGCGGGUACCGUGGCUGUGGUGCUAGCCUCCUCUCUCUACAGCAUAUCUGAGAUCAGGAGCCGCAUGUUUGAUCUUGAAGCUGGCGUCAUCAACCCCACCGACCAAGUCCUCUUGUCAAAACACAUUCUAGAAGCUUCUCUCAUGGGGUUUGUGCUGUUCCUCGCUCUAAUGAUAGACAGAUUGCACCAUUACAUUCGAGAGCUUCGUGUACUUAGGAAGGCCAUGGAGGCUGCAAAGAAACAGAAUCGGAGUUUUGAGGAAGGUAAAACUGCCCGUGCAGAGGAACAAAAGGCAUUGAUGGAAGAAAUUGCCACAAUGAGACUCGAAGUAAAGCAAUUGGAAUCCGAAUGCGAGGCGAAAAGAAGCAGGGUGAAGGCCUUGGAAGGUGAGGUAGUGGCUCUUAAGAAGCAAUCUGAGGGUCUACUUUUGGAAUAUGAUCGCCUCUUGGAAGAUAAUCAGAAUAUUCGGAGUCAGUUGGAAGGUACUUCUUCCCAUGUUGAUAACAAAAAGAGCAUGUGAAUGUGAAUGUCCAAAUAUGAAUGCCGCAAAGCAAUUUUUCUCCUUUUGAUUUGGCUGCUUCCUUUUGUAAGGUGCAUGCUAUUUAUAUAGGGAACUAGAAUACUUGAGUACAGUAUAAAUGUAUUCAAAAUUUUGUUUAUAAAUCAUGGUAUGUCAUGCGUUUUUUAACAUUAAAGGAAGUAUAUUGUGAAAACGAAUGGAGACUAGUCUGCAAUUUACAAUUCUUUCCUCUAGUAAUAGUAAUUCAUAAGAGUCUUUUGUCUGUUUGUAACUCUGGUUUCAAAAACAGAAAAACAAAUGUGAAGCAGCAUAGUUAAAAUAUUGUGCCUAAUAGAUAGGGUGAUUAAAAACUAUUCUAGUUCAAUUCUAACUCAUAUUGAACUGGUUUUGAAAAGUUAAAAUUCAUGCUAA